rnacentral:rRNA from 1 species
AACUUUCAGCAACGGAUCUCUUGGCUCUCGCAUCGAUGAAGAACGCAGCGAAAUGCGAUAAGUAAUGUGAAUUGCAGAAUUCAGUGAAUCAUCGAAUCUUUGAACGCACCUUGCGCUCCUUGGUAUUCCGAGGAGCACACCUGUUUGAGUGUCGU